UACGUAGGGGGCAAGCGUUGUCCGGAUUUAUUGGGCGUAAAGAGCGUGUAGGCGGCCGUACAGGUCAGCUGUGAAAACUCGAGGCUCAACCUCGAGACGUCGGUUGAAACCGUACGGCUAGAGUCCGGAAGAGGAGAGUGGAAUUCCCGGUGUAGCGGUGAAAUGCGCAGAUAUCGGGGAAGAACACCCGUGGCGAAGGCGGCUCUCUGGACAGAUACUGACGCUGAGGCGCGAAAGCGUGGGAAGCAAACAGG
rnacentral:rRNA from 1 species